AACGAACGCUGGCGGCAUGCCUAACACAUGCAAGUCGAACGAGACCUUCGGGUCUAGUGGCGCACGGGUGCGUAACGCGUGGGAACCUGCCCUUAGGUUCGGAAUAACUCCCCGAAAGGGGUGCUAAUACCGGAUAAUGUCUUCGGACCAAAGAUUUAUCGCCUUUGGAUGGGCCCGCGUUGGAUUAGCUAGUUGGUAGGGUAAAAGCCUACCAAGGCGACGAUCCAUAGCUGGUCUGAGAGGAUGAUCAGCCACACUGGGACUGAGACACGGCCCAGACUCGUGCGGGAGGCAGCAGUGGGGAAUAUUGGACAAUGGGCGAAAGCCUGCUCCAGCAAUGCCGCGUGGGUGAUGAAGGCUUUAGGGUUGUAAAGCUCUUUUACCCGGGAUGAUAAUGACAGUACCGGGAGAAUAAGCCCCGGCAAACUCCGU
rnacentral:rRNA from 1 species